rnacentral:rRNA from 1 species
UACGAACGGAGCUCGCGUUAAUCGUAGUUACUGGCCUGAAAGUAAGUGUAUCCGGCUUCAUAAUGCUAAUGUGACACCCCUGCGCUUAACCUGGGAAUUGCAUUCAAUACUGGGACAGCUAGAGUCUGACAAAGGAAAGAGCAAUUCCACAUUGAAUCGCGUGAAAUGUCUAUGAUCUCUGUACCAACACCAAAGCCUGACGCGCCUUCCUGGAUCAAGACUGACGCUGAGGCUCGAAAGAGUGGGGAUGAAACAGGAUUACAUACCGUGGUAGUCCACGCCCUAAACGAUGUCAACUAGACGUUGGCCCCAUUAAAGGGGUUAGUGUCGAAGCUAACGCGUUAAGCUGUCCGCCUGGGGAGUGCGGCCGCAAGCUUGAAACUCAAAGGAAUUGACGGGGGCCCGCACACGCGGCGGAGCACGUCGUCUAAUUCGAUGCAACGCGAAGAGCCUUACCAGCCCUCGACAUCCUCGGAACUUAGUAGAGAUACAUCUGGUGCCUUCGGGAAUCGAGUGACAGGUGCUGCAUGGCGGUCGUCAGCUCGUGUCGUGAGAUGGUGGGUUAAGUCCCGCAACGAGCGCAACCCUUGUCCCUAGUCGCCAGCACUUCGCGUGGGAACUCCUAGGGAGACUCCCGGUGAUAAACCGGACGAAGGUCGGGAUGACGUCACGUCAUCAUGGCCCUUAUGGCCUGGCCUACACACGUGCUACAAUGGCCGGUACAGAGGGCCGCAAUCCCGCGAGGGGGAGCCAAUCCCACAAAGCCGAUCUUAGUCCGGACUACGCACGUCUGCAAACUCCGACGUGCCGUGAAGAUCGGUAAUCGCGUAGCAAUCGCAGAAUCAGACAAUGUCGCGGAGAAUACGUUCUCCGGCCCU